rnacentral:rRNA from 1 species
GAUGAACGCUGGCGGCGUGCCUAAUACAUGCAAGUCGAGCGAACAGACGAGGAGCUUGCUCCUCUGACGUUAGCGGCGGACGGGUGAGUAACACGUGGAUAACCUACCUAUAAGACUGGGAUAACUUCGGGAAACCGGAGCUAAUACCGGAUAAUAUAUUGAACCGCAUGGUUCAAUAGUGAAAGACGGUUUUGCUGUCACUUAUAGAUGGAUCCGCGCCGCAUUAGCUAGUUGGUAAGGUAACGGCUUACCAAGGCAACGAUGCGUAGCCGACCUGAGAGGUGGACGGCCCCCCCGGAAAUGGGAACCGGGCCCAGCCCCCACGGGGGGGCGGGAGAGGGAAUCUUCCCGAAGGGGGGAAAGCCUGAACGAGCAACCCCGGGGUGAGUAAGAAGGUUUUCGGAACGGAAAACUUCUUUAUUGAGGAAAAAAAAAAUGGUAAGGAAACAAGCCAGUUUUGGAGGUACCCAAACAAAAAGCCCCGGCUAACCACCG